rnacentral:rRNA from 1 species
AACGAACGCUGGCGGCAUGCCUAACACAUGCGAGUCGAACGAGGCCUUCGGGUCUAGUGGCGCACGGGUGCGUAACGCGUGGGAACCUGCCCUUAGGUUCGGAAUAACUCCCCGAAAGGGGUGCUAAUACCGGAUAAUGUCUUCGGACCAAAGAUUUAUCGCCUUUGGAUGGGCCCGCGUUGGAUUAGCUAGUUGGUAGGGUAAAAGCCUACCAAGGCGACGAUCCAUAGCUGGUCUGAGAGGAUGAUCAGCCACACUGGGACUGAGACACGGCCCAGACUCCUACGGGAGGCAGCAGUGGGGAAUAUUGGACAAUGGACGAAAGCCUGAUCCAGCAAUGCCGCGUGAGUGAUGAAGGCCUUAGGGUUGUAAAGCUCUUUUACCCGGGAUGAUAAUGACAGUACCGGGAGAAUAAGCUCCGGCUAACUCCGUG